UGGGGAAUAUUGCACAAUGGAGGGAACUCUGAUGCAGCGACGCCGCGAGAACGAAGAAGGCUUUCGAGUCGUAAAGUUCUUUUAUAUGGGAAGAUAAUGACGGUACCAUAAGAAAAAGCCCCGGCUAACUACGUGCCAGCAGCCGCGGUAAUACGUAGGGGGCUAGCGUUGUCCGGAAUCACUGGGCGUAAAGGGUUCGCAAGCGGAAAUGCAAGUCAGGUGUAAAAGGCAGUAGCUUAACUACUGUAAGCAUUUGAAACUGCAUAUCUUGAGAAGAGUAGAGGUAAGUGGAAUUUUUAGUGUAGCGGUGAAAUGCGUAGAUAUUAAAAAGCAUACCGUUGGCGAAGUCGACUUACUGGGCUCAUUCUGACGCUGAGGAACGAAAGCGUGGGUAGCAAACAGG
rnacentral:rRNA from 1 species